rnacentral:lncRNA from 1 species
ACAAGAGCUCCAAACCAACAUAUCAAGAGAAAGAUAUAAAAGGAAACAAGUAUCUAUUUUCUCCCAACGAAAGGAAACAACAACACCAACUACACAAAUCUUCUAGGCUAUGGUAAUGAUGUGAAAGGUCCAUGGGAAAAGGUUGAAGAAGAUAAGGACGGGUAUAUUCUGUAUAGAUUCAGUCCUUGGACCAUGGGUCCACACGUAAGAGGGCAAGGCCAUGUUUAGUUUCCCCCAAAUUUCAAAUUUUGACACUAUGCAAAAAGAAGAUUCCCCAUCACAUCAAACUUGCAGUACAUGCAUGGAGUACUAAAUGUAGACGAAAUUAAAAACUAAUUGCACAGUUUUGUUGCACUUUGCGAGACGAAUCUUUUGAGCCUAA